rnacentral:lncRNA from 1 species
UUCACUCUCUCAUUUGAGUCUUACUAUUAACAAGUAGAAAACUGCAAUCAUGCCACUCUGGAAUCAAGAUUUGCUCUCAAAUGAGUCUUUAAUGACUUCGAAACAAAUUGGAUUCUUCACCAAAAAUAUAACUUUAUGGAUCCAAGUUGCAAUUAAAGCUAACCUUUGCAUUUUGGGAACUGCCCUGGGACCUUUUUUGCUCUACAAAAUCUGGAGAAAGCACAAAAAGAAAGAUGGGUAUAUUAAAAAGCAAAUAUUACUAAUUUAUUGCAAUCUGGGCACAUAAUCUUUGUUUCAUCUGAUUCUUCUACAUUUUUCAACUGUUGAUGAGCAUCUUUCUCAAAUCCAAGAUAUGUAUACUUUAUAUAAUUUUGCCUUGUUUUCUCUUUACAACUAAAGUUUGUAGUUUUAUUUCAUAAUUCAGCUUCUCUUAUUGUUAAUUCUAUAGCUUUUACUGUCCUUUGAAUCUUAUGUAGAGAACUCACUUCCAUCAGGCAAAUCUUAUUACUAGUAGACUUAUGAUUUAUGGUAUUUUUAAUAGCUAUAUGAAUAAAUGUUGAUAAAUGUCUUUUUUUUUUCCUCA